UCAGGAUGAAUGCUGGCGGCGUGUCUAAGGCAUGCAAGUCGAGCGGAUUAUUUUUUGUAGCAAUACGAGAAAUGAUCAGCGGCAAACGGGUGCGUAACACAUUGGCAAUCUGCCUCACAGUCGGGCACAACCUCGCGAAAGCGGGGCUAAUUCCACGAUGGACAUGCGGGGACAUAUGUCAUUCGCAUGUAAAGUCGCAAGACGCUGUGAGAGGAGCCUAUGGCCUAUCAGCUAGUUGGCGGGGUAAAAGCCCACCAAGGCGAUGACGGGUAGGGGAUGUGAGAGCAUGAUCCCCCUCACUGGGACUGAGACACUGCCCAGACACCUACGGGUGGCUGCAGUCGAGAAUAUUCCUCAAUGGGCGAAAGCCUGAAGGAGCGACGCCGCGUGUAGGAUGAAGGGCUUCGGCUCGUAAACUACUUUUUUCAGGGAAGAACAUUGACGGUACCUGAAGAAUAAGAGGUUGCUAACUCUGUGCCAGCAGCAGCGGUAAUACAGAGACCUCAAGCAUUAUCCGGAUUUACUGGGCGUAAAGGGUCCGCAGGUGGUCGUGUGCGUCGAUGGUUAAAUUUUCGGGCUCAACCCGGAAACCGCCGUCGAUACGGCAUGACUAGAGGCCGGAAGAGGCGAGCGGAAUUACCGGUGUAGUAGUAAUAUGCGUUGAUAUCGGUAAGAACACCAAAUGCGUAGGCAGCUCGCUGGAACGUGCCUGACACUCAGGGACGAAAGCGUGGGGAGCGAAAGGGAUUAGAUACCCCUGUAGUCCACGCCCUAAACGAUGGAUGCUAGAUGUCGGGAGUAUCGACCCUCCCGGUGUCGGUGAAAAAAGUUAACACGUUAAGCAUCCCGCCUGGGGAGUACGGUCGCAAGACUAAAACUUAAAGGAAUAGAC
rnacentral:rRNA from 1 species